GACGAACGCUGGCGGCGUGCUUAACACAUGCAAGUCGAACGGAAAGGCCCUGCUUUUGUGGGGUGCUCGAGUGGCGAACGGGUGAGUAACACGUGAGUAACCUGCCCUUGACUUUGGGAUAACUUCAGGAAACUGGGGCUAAUACCGGAUAGGAGCUCCUGCUGCAUGGUGGGGGUUGGAAAGUUUCGGCGGUUGGGGAUGGACUCGCGGCUUAUCAGCUUGUUGGUGGGGUAGUGGCUUACCAAGGCUUUGACGGGUAGGCGGCCUGAGAGGGUGACCGGCCCCAUUGGGCCUGAGAUACGGACCAGACUCGUACGGGAGGCAGCAGUGGCGAGUAUUGCCCAAUGGGCGGAAGCCUGAGGAAGCAACGCCGCGUGCGGGAUGACGGCCUUCGGGUUGUAAAACGCUUCCGCCUGUGACGAAGCGUGAGUGACGGUAAUGGGUAAAGAAGCACCGGCUAACUACGUG
rnacentral:rRNA from 1 species